UACGUAGGGUGCAAGCGUUGUUCGGAAUCAUUGGGGGUAAAGCGCGUGUAGGUGGCUUGUUAAGUCGAAUGUGAAAUCCCUGGGCUCAACCGAGGAAGUGCAUUCGAAACUGGCAAGCUAGAGGACGGCAGAGGAAGGUGGAAUUCCAAGUGUAGAGGUGAAAUUCGUAGAUAUUUGGAGGAAUACCGGUGGCGAAGGCGGCCUUCUGGACCGGUCCUGACACUGAGACGCGAAAGCGUGGGGAGCAAACAGG
rnacentral:rRNA from 1 species